rnacentral:rRNA from 1 species
AUUGAACGCUGGCGGCAGGCCUAACACAUGCAAGUCGAGCGGAUGAAGGGAGCUUGCUCCUGGAUUCAGCGGCGGACGGGUGAGUAAUGCCUAGGAAUCUGCCUGGUAGUGGGGGAUAACGUCCGGAAACGGGCGCUAAUACCGCAUACGUCCUGAGGGAGAAAGUGGGGGGUCUUCGGACCUCACGCUAUCAGAUGAGCCUAGGUCGGAUUAGCUAGUUGGUGGGGUAAAGGCCUACCAAGGCGACGAUCCGUAACUGGUCUGAGAGGAUGAUCAGUCACACUGGAACUGAGACACGGUCCAGACUCCUACGGGAGGCAGCAGUGGGGAAUAUUGGACAAUGGGCGAAAGCCUGGUCCAGCCAUGCCGCGUGUGUGAAGAAGGUCUUCGGAUUGUAAAGCACUUUAAGUUGGGAGGAAGGGCAGUAAGUUAAUACCUUGCUGUUUUGACGUUACCAACAGAAUAAGCACCGGCUAACUUCGUG